GCACAUAUGGGAGGGACUGUAAACAGGUAUGUCAGUGUUCAGCUGAGAAUGAAGAGUGUCACCUAGUCACCUAGUCACGGGGAGAUGUACCUGUCUGCCCGGCUACCAUGGAAACCGUUGUCAUCUCCGUAUGCCCUAUUGAAUUUUUUGUGAGGGAAAAAAGAAGUUCUUAGGAGGACCAAUGAAUGUUAUAUACCAAAGAAGGGACAAUGAGCUAUGGGAACUGACAUUCCCUGGGAAGAGAGAAUGACAGAAGAUACUGUAAAGUGAAGCCAUCAUUUUUCAUAGAGAGGAAUAAAGAAAUACAAUGACUACAGCACAGAAAUAACCUUUGGAUGCCCAAAAGGCAACUUAGGGUCUUAAUUGCCAAAGUAUGUGCAAGUGCCUUAAUGGCAGCAGCUGUGACACUGUGAUUGGCACCUGUUACUGUCCUCCUGGCUUCAGUAGGGGCUGACUGCAGUCAAAUUUGUCCUGUGGAUCACUAUGGGCAGGACUGUGUCCAGCAGUGUUCCUGUGGCUCAGGACAGUGUGACCCAGUGACUGGAGGGUGCCAAUGUCCACCUGGCCAAAUGGGAGCCAGGUAUCAGCAAGAUUUCAGCACAAAGUCAUCAAGGAGUAAGCUGCUUGUCUGUCUUUUUUAUCAAUUUUGAGAUUAAAUAUAUAAAUAUAUAUAUGCCAAUCUGGGAUUGACCUGUGUUCGCUAGGCCAUCUCCAGUUCCCAAAGUAUACCAAGCACAUAGUUAUACGCACAAUAAAAGAUGUCCCCAAAUAAUGUUUGACCCAAACUGUGAGCUAAAUGUACCUGAAAAAUGGUGGCCUUUGCAGUCCUGUGGACAGAAGUUUUACCUAUGGUCUUGCAAGGACAGGAAAUUACUAUGAAAAAGGUAAGUUGAUUAUCACAUUCCUUUAUUCAAUAAAAUUCUAGGACAUACUGCCAUUGUUUGAUAAAAUAUAAUAGAGACCUAUGAAAGGGCUAUUUUCCAAUAAACUCAUGAAAACUUUAUAAUUAUUACUCCAUUUCCAAUACAAGUAAUGUUAUGUUAAUAUUGAUUAAUUUUUGUUACCUUAUCAAAAUAACACAUGAAAAUCCUUAAAACCCUACGUAAUUGAAAUAAUAUUAAUUAAUGUGAAAGAGCCUUUAUGAGACAUAAACCCCAUUCCCCUCCAGCUCUGUUUAAGCCUGAAGUCUUUGUGGAUGGCAGGUUUGCUGGACCUUGAAUUUUUUGGCAUGAUACAGAAGACCUUCAACCAC